UUGACAAGCUGGUCAAGCUGCUUGAGUGUCGCACUAAAAGCAGUCCGAGAAGACAAAUGUCGUAUUUCUCUUCUGUUCUUGGGAGUUCCAGUCGUUCAAAAAGAGAGAUGGGAAGUAACUUUCGAAGAAUCUCCAAAGAAAAGGCUCAUAAAGGGGGCUUUCCUAUCCCCAGUGAUUAAUCUGCAUUCUGGAAGGUGGGACUUUCUGUUCUCCGGCAAAUGACAAUGGAAGUUAAAGUGAGAGGAGAAAUACGUUGGAGUCCUAACAGCCCUGCUGGUGACAUCUAUCAAAAUGAGGGCGGUCCCAAAAAGGAGGUCAUCAUGAAGGCCUCCAGGGUUGCUGUGCUUUCUCUGCACCUUCUAUUCCCGCCACCGGGUGGCGGCCGUCAAUUAUUUACUCCCGAUCCAAAAUGAGAACACAAAUUCAAACGCUUCCUGGCUGCUCCUCCAGAGGAUGUCAGUCAAUGGUACUGGAGGUAGUUCUUCAGGGACUGGGGCAGGGGGAGACCCUCGAUCUCCUGGAGGCGCUCGCGACCCAACGCCAGGCGGGCGGCACGCCGACACAAAUCCAUCAGAGGAAGAGGCUCGGCUGCGGAGGAGGAGG